rnacentral:rRNA from 1 species
UACAGAGGGGGCCAGCGUUAUUCGGAAUUAUUGGGCGUAAAGGGCGCGUAGGCGGCUUGUCACGUCGGGUGUGAAAGCCCGGGGCUUAACCCCGGGUCUGCAUUCGAUACGGGCUAGCUAGAGUGUGGUAGGGGAGAUCGGAAUUCCUGGUGUAGCGGUGAAAUGCGCAGAUAUCAGGAGGAACACCGGUGGCGAAGGCGGAUCUCUGGGCCAUUACUGACGCUGAGGAGCGAAAGCGUGGGGAGCGAACAGG